UUAUUAGUUAUGGUCUUGAAACUCAAAGGAUUUGGCGGUAUUUUAGUCUUUUCAGAGGAACCUGUCUCGUAAUUGACAUUCCACGAUUUUGUUUACUUAACUUUGUAUUCAAUUUUUAUACCUCCGUCAUAAGAAUGUCUUUAUAGAGUUAAUUUUCUUAGUUAUUUAAGAUAAAAAUGUCAGGUCAAGGUGAAGUUUAUAGUUAAGAGAUGAUGGGUUACAAUAAAAUUAUUUAUACGAAUGUAUAUGAUUAUAUUAUAUUGAAGGUGGAUUUGAUUGUAAAUUUAUUUAUUAAGUUUUUUGAUUUAUAGCUCUAAAAUAUGCACACAUCGCCCG
rnacentral:rRNA from 1 species